GACGAACGCUGGCGGCGUGCUUAACACAUGCAAGUCGAACGAUGAAGCCGGAGCUUGCUCUGGUGAAUUAGUGGCGAACGGGUGAGUAACACGUGAGUAACCUGCCCUUGACUCUGGGAUAACUGCGGGAAACUGUAGCUAAUACCGGAUACGACCCUCGGAGGCAUCUCCUGGGGGUGGAAAGAAUUUCGGUCAAGGAUGGACUCGCGGCCUAUCAGCUAGUUGGUGAGGUAAAGGCUAACCAAGGCGACGACGGGUAGCCGGCCUGAGAGUGUGACCGGCCACACUGGGACUGAGACACGGCCCAGACUCCUACGGGAGGCAGCAGUGGGGAAUAUUGCACAAUGGGCGCAAGCCUGAUGCAGCAACGCCGCGUGAGGGAUGACGGCCUUCGGGUUGUAAACCUCUUUUAGCAGGGAAGAAGCGAAAGUGACGGUACCUGCAGAAAAAGCACCGGCUAACUACGUGCCAGCCGCCGCGGUAA
rnacentral:rRNA from 1 species